CCAAUAGCGUAUAUUAAAGUUGUUGCAGUUAAAAAGCUCGUAGUUGAAUUUUAGGCCUGGCCGGGCGGUCCGUCUUUGGCGAGUACUGUCCUGUUGUCGGGUCUUCCUUCUGGUGAACCAGUAUGCCCUUCAUUGGGUGUGCCGGGGAGCCAGGACCAUUACCUUGAAAAAAUUAGAGUGUUUAAAGCGGGCUAUUGCUUGAAUAGAUUAGCAUGGAAUAAUAGAAUAGGACGUUGUGGUUCUAUUUUGUUGGUUUCUAGGACCACCGUAAUGAUUAAUAGGGAUAGUUGGGGGCAUUAGUAUUCAAUUGUCAGAGGUGAAAUUCUUGGAUUUAUUGAAGACUAACUAUUGCGAAAGCAUUUGCCAAGGAUGUUUUCAUUAAUCAAGAACGAAAGUUAGGGGAUCGAAGACGAUCAGAUACCGUCGUAGUCUUAACCAUAAACUAUGCCGACUAGGAAUCGGGCGACGUUAUUUUCACGACUCG
rnacentral:rRNA from 1 species